CUUCAGGUCCCUGUUCAGGUGCCACUUGACGGAGUCCAGCUCCGGGAGGGAGGGUUGAACUGGACACCUGA
rnacentral:miRNA from 1 species